GACAGAGGCCUCGAGCGUUAGGCGGAAUCACUGGGCUUAAAGCGUGCGCAGGCGGUUGUGUAAGACAGGAGUGAAAGCCCAAGGCUCAACCUUGGAAGCGCUCUUGAAACUGCAGGACUCGAAUUUGGGAGAGGAUAGCGGAAUUGUCAGUGUAGCAGUGAAAUGCGUAGAUAUUGACAGGAACACCAGUGGCGCAAGCGGCUAUCUGGACCAACAUUGACGCUGAGGCACGAAAGCGUGGGGAUCAAACAGG
rnacentral:rRNA from 1 species